CUGUAGCCAGCACCACCCUGCAAGGGCACAUGUGGCUUCCCACAAAGGAAAGUUACCACUAAAGCCUCUAGAGCUAGUAUUAUUUGGAAAGUCUUAAUUGUCUCAAUGAAGCACAUCCAAUUACUUGAAGAGCUCUGUGUUGUUUGGUUUUGUCAGAUGCUCGGCAACUAGAGUUUAAUUUAUUGUUUACGG